CAAGUUUCGGAGUAUUGUCACUGAGAGAAUUUCAUUGCUCUAUUGUAAGAGAUAAAUAGGAUUUAAAGAAAAUAACGAAAAACAUGAAGAUUUACAUUUUUAUAAUUUGUUUCUUCUGUUACCAUUUGACCAAUUCACUAAGUUAUGAAUUCAAUGUCUGCACGAUAUAUCAAGCGUAUUCGUAUCAACAAUACCAAAAGGAAUUUCAAUAUAGAAGAAAAAGUACAAGAUGCGGGUUUUUAUGGCUUUACACGUGC